CCAAGAUGGGAGAACUCCUUGAGCCCAGGAGUCUGAGACCACCCUGGGCAACACAACAAGACUCCAUCUCUCUAAAAAAAAGAAAAAAAAAAAGAAUAAAAGGAGUGACACAGCGGAGUCCCAACAAGAAAUGGCCAUACCCUUUUUCUACUUAAAAGCUUCAUGGAGGCUGGGCGCAGUGGCUCACGCCUGUAACCCCAGCACUUUAGGAGGCCAAGGCGGGCGGAUAACAAGCUCAGAAGAUCAAGACCAUCCUAGCUAACACGGUGAAGCCCCGUCUCUACUAAAAAUACAAAAAAUUAGCUGGGCGUGGUGGUGGGCACCUGUAGUCCCAGUUACUCAGGAGGCUGAGGCAGGAGAAUGGCGUGAACCCGGGAGGAGGAGCUUGCAGUGGGCUGAGAUUGCGCCACUGCACUCCAGCCUGGGUGACAGAGUGAGACUCCAUCUUAAAAAAUAAAUAAAUAAAAUAAAAUAAAUGACAUCACUUUGGUUCAGAGCUCUAAAAUGGAGGGAGGAAGCCAUUCUAAAAAGGACUCCCUACAUGACCUGCAACUUGAAAAAAAAUUAAAAGCUCCAAAAAAAAAACAAUACAGGAGCUUACCUUGAACCUUUGAAUUGGGCCAAAUUGCGAUGACCACUGCAUCCUGGAAAAUUUUAUUUCACCAGCACUACAACUCCUCAACAGCACCAACCAAUAAACUAUGGAUUUUUGUACUAAGCCAGUUGCCUCUUUCAAAACAACUUGUCAACUUGUCUAAUCACCCUCAGCUUUUUUUAAAAACCCCUCCUCUACCCUCUCUCUUCAGAACACAAGUGGCUUCUAGCUGAAUCUGUCUCCCAAAUUGCAAUUCCUAAGACCUCAAUAAAAACACCUUGUCUUGCUGCUUUGCAGUGUGGUCUUUUGCCCCUUGGAUGACAUUAAAUGGUGUCAGAAUUGAGUGG
rnacentral:lncRNA from 1 species